rnacentral:rRNA from 1 species
AUUGAACGCUGGCGGCAGGCCUAACACAUGCAAGUCGAACGAGUGGCGGACGGGUGAGUAAUGUCUGGGAAACUGCCUGAUGGAGGGGGAUAACUACUGGAAACGGUAGCUAAUACCGCAUACCAUCGGAUUUGCCCAGAUGGGAUUAGAUAGUUGGUGGGGUAAAGGCUCACCAAGGCGACGUUCCCUGGCAGGUCUGAGAGGAGGACCAGACACACAGGAACUGGGGCACAGGCCAUACACCUACGGGAGGCAGCAGUGGGGAAUAUUGCACAAGAGGAGCGAGCCAGAUGCAGCCAUGCCGCGGGUAUGAAGAAGGCCUUCGGGUUGUAAAGUACUUACAGCGGGGAGACGUAACCCACAGAAGGAGCACCGGCUAACUCCGUGCCAGCAACCACGGUAAUAC